GGGGUCUUCCGGCCAAGAAAUUCCAUUCGAGACACAAUUUAUGGUGGUGGAAGCACGUGACGGCUCUAACAUUGCCGGAAAUGGAGAGGAGGGUGCCGCCGUGUAUACUGUUUUUCUUCCUAUUCUUGAAGGCGAUUUCAGAGCUGUUCUUCAGGGAAAUGAAAAUAAUGAGCUGGAAAUCUGCUUAGAAAGUGGAGAUCCUGGUGUAAAUGGGUUUGAGGGUAGCCAUUUGGUGUUUGUGGGUGCUGGAUCAGAUCCCUUUGAAACCAUUACAUAUGCAGUCAAGUCUGUUGAGAAGCAUUUGCAGACUUUUGCUCAUCGUGAGAGGAAGAAGAUGCCUGAUAUUUUGAACUGGUUCGGCUGGUGUACUUGGGAUGCUUUCUAUACUGAUGUCAAUUCGGAUGGCGUAAAGCAGGGGCUUGAGAGCUUUGAGAGUGGGGGAAUUUCUCCCAAGUUUGUCAUUAUCGAUGAUGGAUGGCAAUCAGUUGCCAAGGAUUCUACUAGUGCCGAUUGCAAAGCUGAUAACACCGCAAACUUCGCGAACAGGUUAACACACAUAAAAGAGAACUACAAAUUUCAGAAAGAUGGCAAAGAGGGUGAAAGAAUCGAGAACCCUGCGCUUGGUCUUCAGCAUAUUGUGUCCUACAUGAAAGAGAAGCACGCAACAAAAUAUGUCUAUGUUUGGCAUGCCAUAACAGGCUACUGGGGUGGUGUGAGUUCUGGAGUUAAAGAGAUGGAACAAUAUGAGUCUAAGAUUGCAUACCCUGUCGCAUCUCCUGGAGUCGAAUCAAACGAGCCAUGUGAUGCUUUGAAUAGCAUUACAAAAACUGGACUUGGCCUUGU
rnacentral:misc_RNA from 1 species